GGUGCUCUGGAAGGGGGCGCGGCUGCCGCCUCCGAGGUCCUUGAGAUCGUUUUACUGCAAAACACAACUCUGGUCACGCAGGGAGCUGAGCGGACCACCUCGGCACUCUUCAAUUGGCCUCCCAGGACGGACUUCCGGCAAAGCCCCUGUACCUGAGAGGACCAGAAGAUGGUGUCAGAUCCUCCGGAGCUGGAAUUGCUGCCAGUUGUGUGUUGCCUGACAUCAUGAGUACUAGAAAGUUAACUCAGGUCUGUGUGUCUUUUCAGAAGAGUUCUUUGAGACCCCAAAGCUGGCACAGUGGAAGGAAGCAGAGAUUCGUCGGGGCAUGGUAGCAUCUGCUGGCCAUGUCUUCCAGAUUGCAGUGGGAAUCUCAGGCAUCUCUUGAGACAGAGAAGAAACCCUUAAGGCAUCUUUUUGGCAAGUGGGCAAAUGGCAGUCCAGUGGCUUCAGCCCACUGAAGAUGAGCUGGGGGUGAACCUGAGAGUCACUUUUCAACCUGAGACUCUACAUCCUGCUCAACUGGUGACAGACUGUGUUUCAUGAUUUACCGAGUCUUUGCAGACGUCUGGAGAACUCA
ensembl:processed_transcript RIKEN cDNA D330023K18 gene